GAUGAAGAACGUAGCGAAAUGCGAUAAGUAAUGUGAAUUGCAGAAUUCAGUGAAUCAUCGAAUCUUUGAACGCACCUUGCGCUCCUUGGUAUUCCGAGGAGCAUGCCUGUUUGAGUGUCAUGAAAACCCUCAACCUUAGAUUGGUUAAAACCUUUCUUUGGCUUGGAUUUGGACGUUUGCCGAUGAUAAGUCGGCUCGUCUUAAAAGUAAUAGCUGGAUCUGUCUCGCGACAUGGUUUGACUUGGCGUAAUAAGUAUUUCGCUAAGGACAUCUUCGGAUGGCCGCGUUGCAAGACUAAAGACCGCUUUCUAAUCCAUUGAUCUUCGGAUUAAUAUUCUUGACAUCUGGCCUCAAAUCAGGUAGGACUACCCGCUGAACUUAAGCAUAUCAAUAAGCGGAGGA
rnacentral:misc_RNA from 1 species